rnacentral:tRNA from 1 species
GUUUCCGUAGUUUAGCGGUUAUCACGUUCGCCUCACACGCGAAAGGUCCCCAGUUCGAAACUGGGCGGAAACA